rnacentral:rRNA from 1 species
AGGAUUAGAUACCCUGGUAGUCCACGCCCUAAACGAUGCCAACUAGGUGUUGGGGAAGGAGACUUCCUUAGUACCGUAGCUAACGCGUGAAGUUGGCCGCCUGGGGAGUACGGUCGCAAGAUUAAAACUCAAAGGAAUUGACGGGGACCCGCACAAGCGGUGGAUGAUGUGGAUUAAUUCGAUGCAACGCGAAAAACCUUACCUACCCUUGACAUGCCUGGAAUCCUGCUGAGAGGCGGGAGUGCUCGAAAGAGAACCGGGACACAGGUGCUGCAUGGCUGUCGUCAGCUCGUGUCGUGAGAUGUUGGGUUAAGUCCCGCAACGAGCGCAACCCUUGUCAUUAGUUGCCAUCAUUUAGUUGGGCACUCUAAUGAGACUGCCGGUGACAAACCGGAGGAAGGUGGGGAUGACGUCAAAUCAUCAUGCCCCUUAUGGCCUGGGCUACAAACGUAAUACAAUGGCGUAUACAAAGGGAAGCGAAAGGGUGACCUGGAGCAAAACUCAUAAAGUACGUCUCAGUUCAGAUUGGAGUCUGCAACUCGACUCCAUGAAGG